rnacentral:lncRNA from 1 species
CUGGUCAUACACAGGAGAUCGCACCGCUUGGUGUCCCCUUGAGGACAUGUGGGAUCGACAUUAAAUAUCCUUUAAUGUACUCAUAUUCGCCCACGAUAUUACUUUCAAAGGACCAACUUUAAAUACUUAUUUCUUAGUCACUGAAAAUUGAAUUUGAGAAAAUAAAUAUACUAUAUUUAUCUACUCGAAAUAUAGAACAAUAAUCCGUUAUUUAAUUCCUCCAAAGUUAAAUGCUUGAUCAUGAUAAAAAAAAUUAUUUAAUACACAUAUUUUUAAUACACGAUUUCCAACGCCUUCACAUCUAGAUUGAUACUUAGAGUUUCGACUAGCCAUUUUAAAAAAACGACUAGUAAAAUAUGACUCUCAGGAGAAAAAUUUAAAUAAUACCAAUAUCCAGAUAAAUUAAAAGAAAAAGUUGUGAAUCCCCUAAAAAAAUAAAAAUAAAAUCCGAACAAUAAAAACUUCGAUUUGAUGCAGCGGCAACAAAAUCGAAACUAUGAGAAGCUCCUUCACCAACUAUGUAUCCCGCAAAUAAAAAAAAAUGAAAUCUAUAAAUGAAAAAGGAAGAUGUUGAUAUAUUGUCCAACUUGUUAUAAGUGUUCCAACAAACUGAAUAAUUGAAUUCUUCUCCUCCUC